rnacentral:lncRNA from 1 species
AGAGCGAGCCGGAGCUGGCGCCGGCUGCCAGGAGCUCGCGGGAGGCUGGCAGGGUGGCGCCAGGGCCGAGCAUCUCCGGCUGUAGCGCCGCGGCCUCUCUGCUUGCUGCACCACCUGGCACGGGCCAGGCGUCCGGGGAGAGAAGAUGUUUUCCCGGCUAAGAGCUGUUACCACUCCUUGUACCUUGACCUGCCGCCGAGUGCACCUGAAAGAGAAGGGCAAGCCACUCAUGUUGAAUCCAAGAACAAACAAGAUACAUUUAUAUAAUGGGCAUCCAAGAAAGAAAUGAGAAACUGUUCUAUAGAAUCCUGCAGGAUGAUAUUGAAAGUCUGAUGCCGAUUGUGUACACGCCAACAGUUGGUCUUGCCUGCUGUCAAUAUGGGCACAUCUUUAGGAGACCUAAGUAAGACUUAUUUUUAAAUACAAAUAUAUAUUGAUUAUUGUGUAAUAAAAGAAUCAUUCUGUGACAUCUAAUUAGAUUUCUUGUGUGUUACAAUAUUAUCCAGCCAGGUUUCUUGCCUCAUAAAAGCCUAAUUUGUAUUAAAAGAUAUUAAUAAAAAGUCAACAUGUUCACAUCUUUGUUUUUGUAGAAACAGCUCACUUAACCAGCUCCUGAUCGUUACUGCCAUUGUUGGAGGAGUUGUGUAGUAGCUGUUUUCUCCUCCUCCCCUUAGGACCGGAAUUACUGUUAAGCCUUUUGGUAGUUUGCCAGGUUGGGAUUGCGUCUCAUUUAUCAGCUUUAAUUUCUGAUGCUUCUCCUCUUCCCCUUUAAAAGAAAAAUUAGCUUUCGUGAAUUUCAAAUUUCAGACUGUUUCAACUUCUAUCAGACAUUUCAGUAGGAAGAGUUUUACCCCCUGAGCCACUCCCUCAAGUCCUUGAGUGAGCACAUGACUGGUUGUCAGCCAAGGAUGACUGAUCCUGUUGGAAACCACCGAAAGGGAGUAAUGUGCUGGAUCUAAGACUAUUUUUUAUCUGAGUUUUUAUGCCCCUUCUGACCUGUUGUUUACCUUAACCCUUGUUUUUUCCCAUGGCCAGCUCAUGCAUUGAUAUCAGUGUAGGCAUCCAGACAGGGCCGAGCGUGACCCUCAGCCCCCGCAUCUCAUCUGAAGGCUCCUCUCAACUUCACAGUGCAUAAGAUGCAUUCGUUGAGUUUUUUAAAAGGCUGACCCCUGCCAGCUUUCUCCCCACAAGACUCCAAUGAGGAAGCUCUGGCAGCUGAAGUUAGCCAGCACCCUGAAAAGCCCUGUUUAACCUAACCCGUAUGGUGCUGUCACCAACGUAUGUAAAACACCUCUAGGAGGUAGCCUAGCACACGUGUGCAUUCUUGUUAGAAAGUGUCUCUCAGCUCAGAUUAGAGGAGCAAGGAAACUGGAAGCACGCUGCCCAGCCCUCCCCCUCAGGGGGUCUGGGUCUCUGGCAGGCGUGGGCCCAGGUGUAGCUGAGAAUGCCCCUGCUGUGACUCUGGCUUGCACCUCGGAUGAGGACUGAGCGGAGAUGAGGCGUCAUGGGGCAGAGAUUUGGAUCAUGCCGUGAAUCCACUGUACCCAUUGUAGGAAUAGUUACUUCAUUUUCCACCUGGAUGCUUAUGAUGUGGACACAUUUCUCUUUGGGGAUAGUAAUCACAUCAGUUAACAAUAAUCUUUGCUAGAGCUGUUCGGUAAGCAACGUAAUUAUCAUUUGAAAGAGUUGAAAUGUUUGGAGAUAAAUCAGUGCUUGGAAAUUAAACCGUAUCUUGAUUUUUAUCAGAAUAUCUAAGUAUCCCAAUUAUGGACAGAAACGUAG